rnacentral:lncRNA from 1 species
GUUCAUCUUCGAUAAUAUGUUUAUAUCGUCAGUAUAUUUAGAUCAUUAUGCCGUUAUUUCGUUCGUUCGUUCGUUCGUUCGUUCGUUCUAAUAGAUGCUGAAUUAUUUUAUUUUGAUUUCAGUUUAUGUUCCCUUUAUGUUUGUUUUUUUUGAUUUUACUGUCUUACACUGUGCAGUCUUAUGGUUAAUUUCAUGAAUGUAAUGUUUUAUAGGGCAGAAUUAUGUUGAUUUUAAUUAUUGAAAAUAUUAUUUUCGGUAUUUGUGAGGUUAAUAAUCAAGAAUCAAACUCUGUGUUGUAGUAUGUGGAUCAGUGGAUGUAUAAACUCAAUUGUUUACAACUGAUUUUUCAUCAUCGAAUAUACUGCUACUUACUCUGUCUAUGUUUCCGAGUCUUUGUCUGCAUAGUUUGUUAGUAUAUAUGUUAUCUGCUAAUGCUGAGGUAGUUUAUUGUGCUUUCUAGACAAGCUUUUCUUAGCUGUUUCAUUAGUCUCUUGGUUAAUUUUGUUUUUUGUUGGGUGUUCUCUAAUAAUUUUGAGCUUAAGUCUCAAUGUGCUUUCUCCAUAGACAUUGCACAAUAUUGCUACCAGUUAAGCUUGAUUUCCUGAGAGUUUUUUUUUUUUGUUUUGGUUGGUGCAGAAUGGAGUCGCAAAUUAAGCAUGCUGUAGUUGUGAAGGUGAUUGGCAGGACAGGUUCACGUGGGCAAGUUACUCAGGUGAGGGUGAAAUUUAUCGAUGAUCAGAACCGUUUCAUAAUGAGGAAUGUCAAAGGCCCUGUUAGGGAAGGAGAUAUCCUCACCUUGCUAGAGUCUGAACGAGAGGCUAGGAGGCUCAGAUAGAUGAUUAAUAAUUGCUCUCGUAUCAUCAUUAUGUUUUGCUUGCUGAUGCAUUUCUUUUUGAGAUAUUAAUUUCAAUACCAAGUAUUUUGAUGUAAGCUUGAUUUGGAUUUGCGGGGAUGUAUCACAAGACUUGACUUUUGUUUCUGAAUUGAGACUCUCUCAUGUUUACUUGUUUGUUUUGUUUAAAAUGGUUGUCUAAUGUCUAUUGUUUUUAAGCAAGUUGGAUUUGGUUAAUUAGUCUAAAUUUUGGGAAGAUGUACUCGAAGUUGAGCAAUCAAUCUUGGUUCCAUUUUCUGGUAGAAUUAUGGAAUCAAGUAUACCUGGUGUGAGGAUCUAGCGAUGAAUUCUUUUAGAUUUUUUGAUUGUAGAGAUGUGAUUGGUAUUUUAAAUUUUUGAAGAUGGAGAUCUAAGUGAAGCAUGAACAGUGAAAGAAUGGAGUUAAAACUUAAAAGCAAUAUACUUACAUAAAUGUGGAAUGAUUGGAUAGUAAAAUUAGUGACGUUAUGAUGUAUGUAAUUGUUUGUUUAAACAAGAUGGCAUACAUACAUACUGUUGCAGACAAUUUAGUAGUAAGUAAAACACGAAAUAAUAUGACAUCUGUGCUUCCUCUUUUCCUCUUUAAAAAGCGGGAAAAAAAAUAAAAAUAAUAAAUAAUAAAAAAUAAAAAUAACGGCUUAAAUAAAUCACAUCAUUCAUCUGGACCACACAUUUGAAUUCAUCUUUAAUUUCAAAGCAAAUAACCGCUUAAGUAAAGUAUCUCAGAAGACAAUGCAAUAACAGACACUAAAUAUGUUUUCCUCGAUUCUAAAUUCAAACUUCUGAAACAAAACCCUAACAAGAACCACAACUCAGAUUUUAACCUCUUCCUCUUUUCCGGUGAAUUAGGGUUUUUAAGCACCUCCACAUAUAUUUUCUUACAGAAAUCCCACUGUGUUUUUUUAGGGUUAUGUAUAACGUUUCUUCAAUGGACAUCGACGCAGACAUUGCGCACUGGAUGCUGGAUUACCUGCUCAGACAACCGCUGGAGGAGUGGAAAUUGAGUGCCUUGAUCGACGCACUGCCUCUGUCUAACACAGACACGAACACUAGGUUGGAAAGGCUGAUUUUACUGAAACAAUUGGAAUAUAAAGCGGCGCGUUUUCCAGUUUCUCGAAGCACGCUUGUACUGUUCGAACAACUGGAGGAGUUGGAUUCCAGACAGGGUAACAUGAAAGUCUCGGAUGGGAUGAAGCAUGCCUAUUGUGCUGUGGCAGUGAAUUGGACGAUGGAGGGGGCAAUAUGCCAAAUCGAGUUUUUUCAUGCAGUAACGGGUCUGAUGGAGAGGAUAGAAAUGAUGGAGAAGCAUGUAGAAAGGAACGGGGCUUUGUGUUCUGAAGAGCUUUCGGAAUGGAUAAAAGACAUCAAAGCUUCCAUGUGGAAUGCCCAUCUUUUCAAGAGCAUCAUGAAGAAGGUGGAGGGUCUUGAUGUUCUUGAUGCAGUUAGGGUUUUUGUGAAGGGGGAGAGGGAGAAGAUGGGCCCUCCGUUGCUGGAGUUGGUGAAGAAACUGAAGGAUGAUGAAUAUGUUAUGGAAUUUCUACGUGGAAAAGCGAAAAUUGUCGAUCCUGAUUCUGGUGAUGAAAAUGCAAUGGGGCCAUCAUAUGAGACGAGCUGCAAAUCGCCAAUGAGCGAAGAAGUUCGUAUUGUUCGGCGAGCCCUUCAUAAGAGUUUAUUGGAUCUUGAAGCAGUCGUGAAGGAUCCCCUUCCCGAAGCAUUGAAAUAUUCUGCUGAAGUCAUGGCUAAAUUCAUGGCCCGUACUGGUGGAAGAAACAUGGCUCAAGAAGAAAACAUGAAUCAGGAUACUGUAAAAGAAAAUGCUGAAUCCAUGGCUGGUACUAGUGCGAGGGAGAUGCCCGGAAAAGAGAAUCAUCUCGAAUUGAACCAAAUUGAUGUGGUAGGUGAUGGAAAUGUUCAAGCUACUACUGGUAUUGACAAGGGCAAUGUCCGUAGACCAAGUUUGAUGGAAAGGAACAAAUCUGCUCGUACCUCUGAGUGGACUGAAUAUGAACCUGAAGAAGAGCAAGGGUCGAGGUUACCUAGCCCAAGGACGACAAAGAAUGCUCCUAACAAACCUGGAAAGGAAAAUGGAAAGGAUAGGAGAAUACGCCGGCUCUGGACUUCUGCUGAAGAGAAAGCUUUCGAGACUGCAGUAGAGAAUCUUGGAGUAGAGAAGCCUGGAAGCAUACAUUGGAGGGCUAUAGCUACCGAGUACAGUGACACAAUUCAAGAUAGAACUGCCGAGGAUUUGCGGUACAAGUGGAGAAACAUGACGAAAGCGAAAGCAAAAAGAUACGGUUGAUUUACGGUUAAUAUGGUCUUUUUUACAUGGAACAAGUAUCCAUAUGGUAAGUUGCUUCUUUGUUUGUAUACUUUGGCUGGUUUUAUUGAUGUAUUUGAUGCUCUUGGCAUCUGUUCAUUUUGUAUAGAGGGCUGUAAAUCAGUGGAGUAGUGCCCUUGUUAGCACAUGAGUGGGUUUUUUUGAGUAUAUUUUUGUAUGCCCUAGUAUGUGUGGUGUAGUUGUGCAGCACUUUUGAUGUAUAAAAUUUUCAACAUUGUGUUUCUAAACAAUUACUGAACGAAGUCGUGGAUAAACCGAUGCUUGUGGUUUUACAGGCUGCGUAUAUGACUUCCUAAUCUCUGUAGCAGAUUUUAACAGGCGAUGAUUUGUAGCAAAGUAGAACUUUUACGGUCCGAAUUCAUUCUUACUGUGUGUUCUCAUAGAAGAAAGUUUAGCUUGUUCAUGUUUCUCCGAUUGGGAUCUCGUUUAAUGUUCGAAUGCAUUUCAAUGCAAUUAAUUAUUACAAUGUAUUUAUAUAGUUUACACUUUACAGUGUCAAGCUUCGUGCCAGACGGAAAGAAGGACUUUAGAACAGGCCUUAAAAACACUCUCUGUUGAACUUAGCCCGUCGAAGAAAAAUCUCCAUCCCUGAAGUUUAGAGCAGAACACGUUCUGAUCCGUCUAGAAGGAACGUUAUCGUGAUAUUAUUACCAGGAGCCUUUCUAUUACAUUGUAUAAGCAUGUAUAACAAUUUUGGUAUAGUAGAAUUGGCAGGAGCAGAUGUAAUUGAAUAGAUAAACCAAGUUGUUGGACGAACAAGCAAAGCAAGCAGAUGGAUAGGCAUCACGACAAACCUUCAAUUUCGAGACACAAAUUAAAUCAAAGCAAGCAGAUGGAUUUUACUUGAAUCUAAUUAUUGAAAAUAUUAUUUUCGGUAUUUGUGAGGUUAAUAAUCAAGAAUCAAACUCUGUGUAGUAGUAUGUGGAUCAGUGGAUGUAUAAAGUCAAUUGUUUACAACUGAUUUUUCAUCAUCGAAUAUACUGCUACUUACUCUGUCUAUGUUUCCGAGUCUUUGUCUGCAUAGUUUGUUAGUAUAUAUGUUAUCUGCUAAUGCUGAGGAAGUUUAUUGUGCUUUCUAGACAAGCUUUUCUUAGCAUUGUUUCAUUAGUCUCUUGGUUAAUUUCGUUUUUUGUUGGGUGUUCUCUAAUAAUUUUGAGCUUAAGUCUCAAUGUGCUUUCUCCAUAGACAUUGAUCAAUAUUGCUACCAGUUAAGCUUGAUUUCCUGAGAGUUUUUUUUUUUUUUUGGUUGGUGCAGAAUGGAGUCGCAAAUUAAGCGUGCUGUAGUUGUGAAGGUGAUUGGCAGGACAGGUUCCCGUGGGCAAGUUACUCAGGUGAGGGUGAAAUUUAUCGAUGAUCAGAACCGUUUCAUAAUGAGGAAUGUCAAAGGCCCUGUUAGGGAAGGAGAUAUCCUCACCUUGCUAGAGUCUGAACGAGAGGCUAGGAGGCUCAGAUAGAUAUGUUCAUUAUGUCUCGUAUUAUCAUCAUUAUGUUUGAUGAUGCACUUCUUUUUG